rnacentral:rRNA from 1 species
GCUUGUCUCAAAGAUUAAGCCAUGCAUGUCUAAGUAUAAGCCUUUAUAUGGUGAGACUGCGAAUGGCUCAUUAAAUCAGAAACUGUUUAUUUGAUAGUGCCUACUACAUGGAUACCUGUAGUAAUUCUAGAGCUAAUACAUGCGUCAAUGCCCGACUUCUCGGAAGGGUUGCAUUUAUUAGAUACAAAACCGACCCGAGGUUCGCCUCGGAACCGUUGGUGAUUCAUAAUAACUAAGCGAAUCGCAUAGGCUUGCCUGGCGAUGGAUCUUUCAAGUUUCUGACCUAUCAGCUAUCGACGGUAGGGUAUUGGCCUACCGUGGCUAUGACGGGUAACGGAGAAUCAGGGUUCGAUUCCGGAGAGGGAGCCUGAGAAACGGCUACCACAUCUAAGGAAGGCAGCAGG